rnacentral:rRNA from 1 species
GACGAACGCUGGCGGCGUGCUUAACACAUGCAAGUCGAGCGAUGAAACUACUUCGGUAGUGAAUUAGCGGCGAACGGGUGAGGAACACGUGAGGAAUCUGCCUUCUACACUGGGAUAACUCCGGGAAACCGGGGCUAAUACCGGAUAUGAAACUUGGUGGCAUCACCGAGUUUGGAAAGUUUUUCGGUAGAAGAUGACCUCGCGGCCUAUCAGCUUGUUGGUGAGGUAAUGGCUCACCAAGGCGACGACGGGUAGCCGGCCUGAGAGGGCGACCGGCCACACUGGGACUGAGACACGGCCCAGACUCCUACGGGAGGCAGCAGUGGGGAAUAUUGGGCAAUGGAGGAAACUCUGACCCAGCGACGCCGCGUGCGGGAUGAAGGCCUUCGGGUUGUAAACCGCUUUCAGUAGGGAAGAAGCGAAAGUGACGGUACCUACAGAAGAAGCACCGGCUAACUAUGUGCCAGCAGCCGCGGUAAUACAUAGGGUGCAAGCGUUGUCCGGAAUUAUUGGGCGUAAAGAGCUCGUAGGUGGUUCGUUACGUCGGAUGUGAAAAUCUGGGGCUCAACCCCAGACCUGCAUCCGAUACGGUCGAGCUAGAGUUUGGUAGGGGAGACUGGAAUUCCUGGUGUAGCGGUGGAAUGCGCAGAUAUCAGGAGGAACACCAAUGGCGAAGGCAGGUCUCUGGGCCAAUACUGACA